rnacentral:rRNA from 1 species
UACAGAGGUCUCGAGCGUUGUUCGGAUUUAUUGGGCGUAAAGGGUGCGUAGGCGGUGUGGCAAGUCAAGUGUGAAAUCUCGGAGCUUAACUCUGAAACUGCACUUGUUACUGCCGUGCUAGAGGGUUGUAGAGGAGAUCGGAAUUCACGGUGUAUCAGUGAAAUGCGUAGAUAUCAAGAGGAACACCAGUGGCGAAGGCGAGUCCCUGGACAACACCGGACACUGAGGCACGAAAGCUAGGGGAGCAAACAGG